AGAUAAUUAAUAAACAUUAACCUGUGUUACUGAUAUAUAUACUAUUAUUUUAAAAUAAUAAUAAUUAUUAUGAUAUUUAGGACAUCUAUACUAUACUAAAAGGAAGAUAUCCUCAAAAGAGAGACAUGCCACAUCAGAUUAAAAAAUCUUCCAAUCAGAUACCUUCAAAUUGCCAUGUCACACAUGUUUUUAGUCUUCACAGAAAAACAGGUCAUUAUAGGCUUGGCUUCGAACAAUAAAACAAUUCGAGAUGACAUAUCCCUUCGCAUCCCUGCCAAUUGUAGUUACCACAUAUCACUCUGUAUCAUUUCACUAUACUCUUUAUUCCUUUAUUUAUUGUUUCGUUUCACCUCCUUUUGCUCUCCUCCUAUAUAAUGCUAUGGCAUGAAAUCCACAAGAAAAUAAAGCCAUUGCCAUGAAAUCCAAGGAAAGUCAACCGUCUCCAGUAUGUUUGGCACUUGCCUUACUGGAUAUCAGAGCUUGCAAAGUGAGUAUAAUCUCAAGAAUGCUUUGAAAGAUGAGUUAUCUUCCUGUGUAGAGAUCACCCAUGUUUAUAUUCCAUUAGACUUUCACGGCCGACUUUCUUUCCCCAAGUUCGUGACUUCAUCCUUCUUCCAAUUCGUGAUAACUGCUGUGAAUUUAUUUACCUAAUUUUUUUCUUUUACAUAUGCAAUUACAUUUCAUUGCAUGUGUUCAAAGGUUUGGAAAUCCUUCACAAAAAGAUCCAUGAUUUCCUAUCUUCAUCCGUACAUAAAUUUGCUCAUGACUCUUGAUUUGAUUUCAAAAGUGAAACGUCUCUCAUGAAUUUUUUUUUUAAUUAUCGUAGCUCAUUGUAUCAAGAUUCACAUGAUCAAAAGUAUGAAGAAGGUAAGAAAUUAUCUCUCAUCUGGUGUGAUAACUCAACUUAUAGAAAGAGGCACUUUUGAAAUGUUUUUCAAUUCAGUCUACGUGAUAAUAUUUGUUAGUAGCUUCACACUACCACUCCAAGGGUUAAGUUAAAACCAGCAAGUAAAGAAAAAAGCUGGUAAGCUUCAAAUCCAAAAUUUUAUAUGUUUCAGUUGUUCUGUUGCAAUAUAAUAAAAUUAACAAUAGUUCUUAUUUCCACUAUAUAAUUUUGUCUACUUUGAAAGGAAUAUGGUCACUUAAUUUUAAUAUCUUGGAAGACAUAUUACGAGGACUCUAAGCUAUAAAAUAUGUAGUGUUGCAUUACAUGGCGUGCUAUUUUGAAAGUGUUCUGAACUUGAGCCAUUUAGAAACCCAUUUAGACAAGCCAUUUUUACUGAUUCCAACACCGUAUGAUUCUAAAUUCUUGAAUUAAUAUAUUUCCUUUGAUUCAAAAAAAUAUCGUAGAUAAUACUCUAGAAAAUCUGCAGGAACAGUAACAUUUAGAUUUUGAGAGGCGUAAAGAAUACGCAGGAACAGAGACAGAGAGAUUACAUUUGGUGGCAGAGGUGAGAAGCUGCAGAGAAGACAGAGACCGAGAGAGUCACCUUUGGGUGGCCAAGUUAUCUUGAGAAGAAAAGAAGAGAGGCUCAAGAGAUACAACAUACAAGGGAAUGAUCAACAAAAUUUGGAGGAACAGAAACGAAUAGAUACUGACUAGGGAGAUUCUCUUGCAUCUGGCAAGGAGAAUGGUCUUAGUUUUGGUUUACUGAUUUUAAUCACUUGUGAUCCUGAGUCGUGGAACUAGAUGGUUCAUGAAGACUAUAUCUUAGAGAAUCUCAGCGAUGGUGGUCAUUAUACUCUAUAUAACAACAUGCAUGUGAGAAACGAAGUGGUUCAAAUCAAAACCAGAACUGACGAUUGAAAGAAAAGUGGGAACAGAGUAACCAUACACCUCAAAUAGAAUACUCAACUGAUUACUUUAGACGCAAUAAACUGAUUUGCAGUAAAAAAUUAAGUUGCUUA